CAUUGGGCUCUACGAAACCCAAAGGCGUAGUCAAAGUGAAGGCCUGAAAUUUUUUAAAUUUUGGGUUACGGUGAGAUCCCGUUGUGUGUUUGCUCCUCGUGCAUUGGCAGUACCAAGCAUGGAGCAGCGGGCGCAUCACCGGCCCGUCCCAUAAUGUGUCUGCUCGGUUGAAGGCGGGCAGUAGAGCGCUCGGAUUUGUUUUGUGCGUGAAGGGCUGGGCUAAGUGGUCGACGCUUUGCGGUGUUGGUCCGUCUUGGUGUUGUCGGUCGUGCGCCGGGUCCGGGAGAGCGACUGUCCUACGGGCAUAUCAUUGGGGCGGAGCAUGAGCGUGCACGUUGAGACCCGAAAGAUGGUGAACUAUGCUUGCGCAGGUUGAAGCCAGAGGAAACUCUGGUGGAAGACCGCAGCGAUUCUGACGUGCAAAUCGAUCGUCAAACGUGAGUAUUGGGGGGCAGACUAA
rnacentral:rRNA from 1 species